rnacentral:rRNA from 1 species
AUGCCCAUCAUCUGCGCGGCGCGGGUGUUCCAGCUCACCCGCGAGCUCGGCCACAAGUCCGACGGCCAGACCAUCGAGUGGCUGCUCCGCCAGGCCGAGCCCUCCAUCAUCGCCGCCACCGGCUCCGGCACCACCCCGGCCUCCUUCUCCACCUCCUCCCCCUCCUCCCUCCGCCCCCCCGGCGCCCCCCACCCGCAGCACCCCCACGCGCACGCCCAGCCGCUCGCCGUCUCCCCGCACCACCACCUCCCGCACGCCGCGCCCUUCAUCCUCGGCAAGCGCGUCCGCGACGACGACGGCAACGGCAACGGCGCGGCGUCCGGCGGGGCGGCGGCGGUCACCGCGGCCAUGGCCCCGGCCCCGGGCUUCUGGGCGCUGCCCGCGCGGGGCGACUUCGGGCAGCUGUGGAGCUUCGCGCCGCCGCCGGAGAUGAUGGUGGCGGCGCCGGCGAUGGCGGGGGAGGCCUCCGCCGCCCGGGUCGGCAACUACCUGCCCAUGGCGCAGGCCAACCUGAACCUGCUCGCCUCCUUCUCCGGCGGCCCCGGCGGCGCCGGCCAGGCCACCGGGCGGGCCGAGGAGGAGACCGCCCACUGA